rnacentral:lncRNA from 1 species
GGGAAAUUAGAGGCUCCUGUGAUUAUGGGAAGUAGGUAGGAGAAUGGAGGCUUCUGUGAUUAUGGGAAGUAGGUAGGAGAAUGGAGGCUUCUGUGAUUAUGGGAAGUAGGUAGGAGAAUGGAGGCUUCUGUGAUUAUGGGAAGUAGGUAGGAAAUUGGAGGCUUCUGUGAUUAUGGGAAGUAGGUGGGAAAUUAGAGGCUUCUGUGAUUAUGGGAAGUAGGUAGGAGAAUGGAGGCUUCUGUGAUUAUGGGAAGUAGGUAGGAAAUUGGAGGCUUCUGUGAUUAUGGGAAGUAAGUAGGAAUAACUUUUGUAAACAGGCUUCUGCUUGAUUCAUCA